rnacentral:rRNA from 1 species
AUGGAUCCGCCCCCGCCCGCGGCGAGCCCGCCGUCGAGGCCCCCGGACGCGUCGGAGGAGCCGGGCGCCCCUGCCACCGCCACCGCCACCGCCAGCGCCGCUCCCGUCACAGACACUACUGACAGUACACAAGCUGAUGCUCAAGGAGGACUACAUGACACAGCUAUUAGCAAUCCGGAGAAUAACAAUGACACCUCCACUUCGACUCGAGGAGAUUCACAUUCACCCUGGAUUUCGGAAGAACAUUUGGGUGAAAGUUUAGUGCAGACUACCUCCAAGCAGGCAGCAAACUCAGAUGGGACAAGGAAGAGGAAUUUUCAGCCUGGAAAUAAAGAGGCAGUACAUGCUCCUAGUGCUGGCAGCAAAUCUCACGCACGUGACAUCUCUGUGGUGGAAACUAAAGAUGCAAGGAGCAAGUUCUUGAAGAAAUCCGAUAACGAGGAUCCAGCAUGUGAAGACAGGAAGAAUGCCGAUUUGGCAGGGAUCUCGGAAGAAUUGAAGGAAAACAAUAACAGAUCUUCUCUUAACUCUAGCAGCUUGAAGGAUGAGAAGAAGCAAAAGAAUAGAAGCAGAGGAAAAGAGAAUAGCAAUCAUGUUCAUAACACAAGCACUUUACAUGAUAUUUCUUUGCCAACUACCGCUGGUACCUCUUGUUUGACGUCGAUGGUUACUGAGAACAAUGCAGAAGCUCCUAAAUGCAUGGGUUUGAGGCUAAAGAAAAAUCCAGAUGAUGUAUCCCUGACAAACUCAUUCACAGUAGUUAACGCAGAGACCACGGAUGGGGGAAAUUUGAAUGUAGACAGUACCAUUCAAAAGAACUUUGAUGAAGUUCUGCCUGGUUCACUUAAAGAGAAAGAAACUGAGAAUGUUGCAACAUCCUUGGGUUCAUCCGUGCUUCACUCCAGCCAACUGGCAAGCAGUAAUGUGUCUCUGAUGCCACUUCAAGGUGUUAUAGUUGAUGCAGAUGUGAAGACCAACUGCCUACAUUCAUCAACUGAAGAAAAAGUUUAUCGGAGUGCAGUUAGUGAAGAUGUUACCAAACCUUCUGAUCAUGUUUCCCAGCCUAACAUCGCAGAAGAGCACAAGAAUUUCGGGUCCGGUAAACAUAUGAGAGAAGCUAUUCUUCAUACAUCAGUUAAUAGUGCUGGAAUAGAAAAGGUCUUACCAUCUGAAAAUCAGAAGAACCAGUCGUAUCCAUUCAAUGAAGGCGCAAACUUCUUUCAGAGAGGAAACGCAGACCGUAACUUUAGGGCAGAUGUUCAUCACCGUAGGAACAUCUAUGGAUCAGGAGGCAUGGGGAAUUCAGAGUAUGAAUUUCAGAGGAACCAGUCACAUCCAUUCAGUGAAGGUAGAAACUUCUUUCCGCUAGGAAGGGAAGACCCUAACUUAAGGGCAGGUGUUCAUCACAGUAUGGACAUGUAUGGAUCAGGAGGCAUGGGGAAUUCAGAGUAUGGGUUGCAGAGGAACCGGUCGUAUUCAUUCAAUGAAGGUGCAGACUUCUUUCAGCUAAGAAGGGCUGAUCCUAACUUUAGGGUAGGUGUUCAUCACAGUAUGAACAUCUAUGGAUCAGGCGCCAUGGAGAAUUCGGAGCAUGGAUUUCAGAGGAACCGGUCUUAUCCAUUUGAUGAAGGUGCAAACUUCUUUCAGCUAGGAAGGCCAGACCCUAACUUCAGGGCAGGUGUUCGUCACAAUAUGAAUAUCUAUGGAUCAGGCACCAUGGGGAACUCAGAGGAUGGAUUUCAGAGGAACCAGUCGUAUCCAUUCUAUGAAGGUGAAAACUUCUCUCAGCUAGGAAGGCCAGACCCUAACUUUAGGGCAGGUGUUCAUCACAAUAGGAACAUCUAUGGAUCAGGCGCCAUGGGGAAUUCAGAACAUGGAUUUCAGAGGAACCAGUCGUAUCCAUUCGAUGAAGGUGCAAACUUCUUUCAGCUAGGAAGGCCAGACCCUAACUUUAGGGCAGGUGUUCAUCACAGUAUGAACAUCUAUGGAUCAGGCGCCAUGGGGAGUUCAGAGCAUGGAUUUCAGAGGAACCAGUCGUAUUUAUUCAAUGAAGGUGCAAACUUCUUUCAGCCAGGAAGACCAGACCCUAACUUUAGGGAAGGUGUUCAUCACAGUAUGAACAUGUAUGGAUCAGACGCCAGGAGGAAUUCAGAGCAUGGAUUUGGAAGAAGCUAUUUGGAUCAUACCAGUACCGUAAAGAAUGAAAUGCAGGAGAAAGAACGAACUUGCUUAUCAACAAAUCACAACAAUGACCAGAUAAGCCCUUCAAAUUUAGCUCAGGCAUAUAGCGAAAAGCUUAGAAUGUCCUUCCCUCCAAGAGAUUCCUUGACAGGGUUUCGGAAGAAAAAGCUUCUUAUUCUAGAUCUCAAUGGCCUUCUUGCGGAUAUCAAUGAAGAUUUCCACAAUGCUCACAUGGCUGAUGCAAAGGUUCGAAGGAAACUAGUCUUCCGAAGGCCUCACUGUGAUGAUUUUCUCAACUUCUGCAUAAAAAAUUUCGAGCUAGGUGUAUGGUCCUCAAGGAAACGGAAAAAUGUUGAUUCUGCUGUUGACAUCCUUAUGAGAGAUUUCAAACCAUACCUACUGUUUUCUUGGGCCAGGGAUAAAUGCACAAUGACUGGACGGAACACACUGGAGAACGUGCACAAACCAAUAGUACUGAAGGAAUUGAAGAAACUAUGGAAUAAGGAAGAACCUGGUCUUCCAUGGAAGGAGGGGGAAUUUUCACCUUCCAAUACAUUACUUGUGGACGAUUCUCCUUACAAGGCUCUGCGUAAUCCGACACAUACUGCCAUUUUUCCUCAGCCGUUCAGCUAUCUUAACCGGAACGACAAUUCAUUGGGUCCUGGUGGAGAUCUUCGCAUGUAUCUGGAGAAACUCGCUUUUGCAGAUGAUGUUGAGUGCUACGUUCGCAAUAAUCCAUUUGGUCAACCUUUUAUUACACAGAGUGAUCCACAUUGGGACUUCUAUGCUGAAAUAGCUGGUAAAGAGUAUGGCGCAUUAACUUGUGCCUGA